UACGUAGGGUGCAAGCGUUAAUCGGAAUUACUGGGCGUAAAGCGUGCGCAGGCGGUUUUGUAAGUCUGUCGUGAAAUCCCCGGGCUCAACCUGGGAAUUGCGAUGGAGACUGCAAGGCUAGAAUCUGGCAGAGGGGGGUAGAAUUCCACGUGUAGCAGUGAAAUGCGUAGAUAUGUGGAGGAACACCGAUGGCGAAGGCAGCCCCCUGGGUCAAGAUUGACGCUCAUGCGCGAAAGCGUGGGGAG
rnacentral:rRNA from 1 species